AUUGAACGCUGGCGGCAGGCCUAACACAUGCAAGUCGAGCGAGCGGCGGACGGGUGCGUAAUGCCUAGGCAUCUGCCUGGUAGUGGGGGAUCACGUCCGGAAACGGUAGCUAAUACCGCAUACCAUCGGAUGUGCCCCGAUGGGCUUAGCUAGUAGGUGGGUUAACGGCUCACCUAGGCGACGAUCCCUAGCUGGUCUGAGAGGAUGACCAGCCACACGGGAACUGAGAAACGGUCCAGACGCCUACGGGAGGCAGCAGGGGGGAAUAUUGCACAAUGGGCGCAAGCCUGAUGCAGCCAUGCCGCGUGUAUGAAGAAGGCCUUCGGGUUGUAAAGUACUUUCAGCGAGGAGGCGUUACUCGCAGAAGAAGCAACGGCUAACUCCGUGCCAGCAGCCGCGGUAAUAC
rnacentral:rRNA from 1 species